rnacentral:rRNA from 1 species
CAGCCGUAAACUAUGCUCGCUAGGUGUCAGGCAUGGCGCGACCGUGUCUGGUGCCGCAGGGAAGCCGUGAAGCGAGCCACCUGGGAAGUACGGCCGCAAGGCUGAAACUUAAAGGAAUUGGGCGGGGGAGCACAACAACGGGUGGAGCCUGCGGUUUAAUUGGACUCAACGCCGGACAACUCACCGGGGACGACAGCAAUAUGUAGGCCAGGCUGAAGACCUUGCCUGAAUCGCUGAGAGGAGGUGCAUGGCGUAGACGUGU